ACACCGUUGGUGAAACGGUAUCAUGCGUCGUUGCCACUCCUACAAGAGAACGAUUCGACGCGGCAGGGGUUCGACUCCCUUACGGUGUA